rnacentral:rRNA from 1 species
AUUGAACGCUGGCGGCAUGCCUUACACAUGCAAGUCGAACGGCAGCGGGGGAGAAGCUUGCUUUUCCUGCCGGCGAGUGGCGAACGGGUGAGUAAUACAUCGGAACGUGCCCUGAAGUGGGGGAUAACUAGUCGAAAGAUUAGCUAAUACCGCAUACGACCUGAGGGUGAAAGUGGGGGACCGCAAGGCCUCAUGCUAUAGGAGCGGCCGAUGUCUGAUUAACUAGUUGGUGGGGUAAAAGCCUACCAAGGCGACGAUCAGUAGCUGGUCUGAGAGGACGAUCAGCCACACUGGGACUGAGACACGGCCCAGACUCCUACGGGAGGCAGCAGUGGGGAAUUUUGGACAAUGGGCGAAAGCCUGAUCCAGCAAUGCCGCGUGUGUGAAGAAGGCCUUCGGGUUGUAAAGCACUUUUGUCCGGAAAGAAAUGGCUCUGGUUAAUACCUGGGGUCGAUGACGGUACCGGAAGAAUAAGGACCGGCUAACUACGUGCCAGCCGCCGCGGUAA